AUUGAACGCUGGCGGCAUGCCUUACACAUGCAAGUCGAACGGUAACGCGGGGGCAACCCUGGCGACGAGUGGCGAACGGGUGAGUAAUACAUCGGAACGUACCCAGUAGUGGGGGAUAGCUCGGCGAAAGCCGGAUUAAUACCGCAUACGACCUAUGGGUGAAAGCGGGGGAUCGCAAGACCUCGCGCUAUUGGAGCGGCCGAUGUCGGAUUAGCUAGUUGGUGAGGUAAAGGCUCACCAAGGCUACGAUCCGUAGCUGGUCUGAGAGGACGACCAGCCACACUGGGACUGAGACACGGCCCAGACUCCUACGGGAGGCAGCAGUGGGGAAUUUUGGACAAUGGGCGAAAGCCUGAUCCAGCCAUGCCGCGUGUGUGAAGAAGGCCCUCGGGUUGUAAAGCACUUUUGUCCGGAACGAAACGGCGAAGGCGAAUAACUUU
rnacentral:rRNA from 1 species